CGGGUGUAGCUCAGUUGGUAGAGCAUCACCUUGCCAAGGUGACUGUCGUGAGUUCGAGUCUCAUCACCC
rnacentral:tRNA from 1 species